GGAAGAACAACUCCAGGAACUGCCUCUGAUAUGGGGGAUGUCAGAAGGAUGCUCUUCAGAGACCCUAUGUGGCUGCUGUUGCCUUCCGAUAUUGUCUUCAUCCAAAAUGAGUGGACUCCCUUGGAAUCUUUGGCCUAAGUAUAUUGUCGAAGAUGAGACAGCAUGCCGGAGGAGAACUGGAAACCAGCACACUCUGUCUAACUCCCAGCUCAAUCAAUGAUAGGAGAAUGAAUGCUUCCGUGAAUCAUUCGCUGUCCGUUUGGGAUGUAACGUUGGGCAUGGAUACCCAAGUCCAUCCAAUAGUCAUUUUAGGGUUUUAUGCUUGGAGGCUGGUAUACAUACCUGGAGGAGGACUAUGCAAAGAAAUAUGCUACGUGGCAAGGCAAGUACUCUUUUAAAUAUAGCUGCUUUUACAUGUAUUUCUCAUACCAUAAUACUUUGCAUUUGCCCAAUGGUUUUUAUAGGAAACUAUCCAAGAACUUUACAGGUUGAAUACUGAAGCCAUGUAACAUCAGUGGGACACAAUAGGAAUGAUCGCCCCCAUUUUUACAGAUAUGUAAAAAUAUGCAGAGGGUUUUAGCGACUUCAGUGGGAGCUGCUAGGUUGUCAGCACUUCUGAAAACCAGGCCAGUCCCAGUGGCGACUGGGCCUCUGUUAGCCACCUUAGCUUAUCGUCUAGUCCAGUGGUUCUCAAACUAUUGUACUGGUGACCCCUUUCACACAGCAGCCUCUGAGUGCGACCCUCCCUUAUAUAUUAAAAACACUCUUUUAUAUAUUUAACACCAUUAUAAAUGCUGGAUGCUAAGCGGGGUUUGGGGUGGAGGCUGACAGCUCACAACCCCCCCUCCCCCAUAAGAACUCAUGACCCCCUGAGGGGCCCCAACCCCCAGUUUGAGAACCCCUGAUCUAUUCUGACCUGUUACC
rnacentral:lncRNA from 1 species